GAGCAUCAGUCGAAGUUUAAAGAUGGAGAAGAUAUACCUCCUUUAGUGGAUGUCUCUUCCAAAGCAAUCAUCAAUAGAGCUGAAUUGAGUUCUAAUUAUAGGACAUCCAGUGGCUCUGAUAUGACAUUGUCAAGUUCUGAUGACAGUUCCUAAGAGGUUCAGGCUUGCAAAGGACACAACAUUUGGACAAAGGCACUUGAAUAAGUGGAGUCAGUCAUCAAUUUCCUUAUGG